rnacentral:lncRNA from 1 species
GUCAGAAUGUUUGAACUGACCCAGAGACGAGGCUCAUAUGCCACGUGUAUACUCUCAACAACUUUAAGAGCAAGACAAAAGACCCUUCCAGUCACUUCCUAUUGACAGCCACAACCCUCAAGUUUCACACUUUAGAGCUGGAGAAAAAUCAGUAGUACCUCUUCUUCUGACAUCUUAAUCUCUUGAGAGGUUCUCAUACCUUUGUGUUUUCCCACCUAAUCUUUACAGUGGUGGUCUUAGCUACCCCUGGACUCAAAACAGUCUUAGGCAUAUACAAAAUAAUAAUAUAACUAGCAAACUGCAAAAAUCCCACACAGUUCUUCCUUUGAAAGAAGUCUCUUAGUGUUUGGAUAAGGUUUGUUCAGAAAUGCAUCUGGAAUGUGUAUCUCUAGCCCCCACAUUCAGGUUGAAGCACAGAGGUUGGUAAAUUGUGUAUUCUGUGGUUUAAAAAGCUUGAAGCGACCUGUUUCCAAAUGAGUGUGUCCUUCUUCCCUUUAUCUAUUGAUAGCAGUCAUUUAGGCUUCCCUCAGCUCUUCCGGGCCUCUGUACUCAGUGCUUAUAAAGCUUUGGAUUUUUGUUAACUAUGUAAUCAGUACCACCCAAAUGUCAUAUCUGACCUGGAAGUGUUUCUGGACCUCAGACUCGUGCAUUUGUAAAUCUAGUAUUUCAGAGCCACCUGGGGAUGCCUCAUGGUUUGAGCCAGGAUGGAAGGACUGCUCUGGUGGCUGGAGCAGUCAACGGCAGACAGCCCAGGGUCUGUCUGCCUAGGGUGGUGUUCAGCUUACAAAACUGGACCCUUUCUCUUCCACCAACCCCUGUUUUGACCUAAACCUCCUUCUCCUCCCAUGCUUGAUGUCUCUUUUAGGGCAGUUCUGAUGCUUGCCUCAAAUCUAGGGAGUCUCUGAUUCCUCUCU